UACGUAGGGGGCGAGCGUUAUCCGGAUUCAUUGGGCGUAAAGCGCGCGCAGGCGGGCUUGCAAGCGGGGCCUUUAAUCUUGGGGCUUAACCUCAAGUCGGGUUCCGAACUGCAAGCCUCGAGUGUGGUAGGGGAAGGCGGAAUUCCCGGUGUAGCGGUGGAAUGCGCAGAUAUCGGGAAGAACACCGAUGGCGAAGGCAGCCUUCUGGGCCACUACUGACGCUGAGGCGCGAAAGCUGGGGGAGCGAACAGG
rnacentral:rRNA from 1 species